UACAGAGGGCAGCUACCCAGCAAUGGGAUGCGAAUCUCGAAAGCCUGUCUCAGUUCGGAUUGGAGGCUGAAACCCGCCUCCAUGAAGUUGGAUUCGCUAGUAAUCGCGCAUCAGCCAUGGCGCGGUGAAUACGUUCCCGGGCCUUGUACACACCGCCCGUCACACCAUGGGAGUCGGUAACACCCGAAGUCGGUAGCCUAACCGUAAGGAGGGCGCCGCCGAAGGUGGGAUUGAUGACUGGGGUGAAGUCGUAACAAGGUACC
rnacentral:rRNA from 1 species